rnacentral:rRNA from 1 species
GAAACGGUAGCUAAUACCGCAUAACGUCGCAAGACCAAAGAGGGGGACCUUAGGGCCUCUUGCCAUCGGAUGUGCCCAGAUGGGAUUAGCUAGUAGGUGGGGUAACGGCUCACCUAGGCGACGAUCCCUAGCUGGUCUGAGAGGAUGACCAGCCACACUGGAACUGAGACACGGUCCAGACUCCUACGGGAGGCAGCAGUGGGGAAUAUUGCACAAUGGGCGCAAGCCUGAUGCAGCCAUGCCGCGUGUAUGAAGAAGGCCUUCGGGUUGUAAAGUACUUUCAGCGGGGAGGAAGGGAGUAAAGUUAAUACCUUUGCUCAUUGACGUUACCCGCAGAAGAAGCACCGGCUAACUCCGUGCCAGCAGCCGCGGUAAUACGGAGGGUGCAAGCGUUAAUCGGAAUUACUGGGCGUAAAGCGCACGCAGGCGGUUUGUUAAGUCAGAUGUGAAAUCCCCGGGCUCAACCUGGGAACUGCAUCUGAUACUGGCAAGCUUGAGUCUCGUAGAGGGGGGUAGAAUUCCAGGUGUAGCGGUGAAAUGCGUAGAGAUCUGGAGGAAUACCGGUGGCGAAGGCGGCCCCCUGGACGAAGACUGACGCUCAGGUGCGAAAGCGUGGGGAGCAAACAGGAUUAGAUACCCUGGUAGUCCACGCCGUAAACGAUGUCGACUUGGAGGUUGUGCCCUUGAGGCGUGGCUUCCGGAGCUAACGCGUUAAGUCGACCGCCUGGGGAGUACGGCCGCAAGGUUAAAACUCAAAUGAAUUGACGGGGGCCCGCACAAGCGGUGGAGCAUGUGGUUUAAUUCGAUGCAACGCGAAGAACCUUACCUGGUCUUGACAUCCACGGAAGUUUUCAGAGAUGAGAAUGUGCCUUCGGGAACCGUGAGACAGGUGCUGCAUGGCUGUCGUCAGCUCGUGUUGUGAAAUGUUGGGUUAAGUCCCGCAACGAGCGCAACCCUUAUCCUUUGUUGCCAGCGGUCCGGCCGGGAACUCAAAGGAGACUGCCAGUGAUAAACUGGAGGAAGGUGGGGAUGACGUCA